rnacentral:rRNA from 1 species
AACGAACGCUGGCGGCGUGUUUAAGACGUGCAAGUCGCACGGGAUAAGACAUGUAGUAAUACUUGUUUUAUUUAGUGGCGCACGGGUGAGUAACACGUGAAUUACAUGCCCUAUAGUGGGGAAUAGCCCAGGGAAACUUGGAUUAAUACCCCAUGGUAUCGAAAGAUUAAAGGUGGCCGCAAGGCUGUCGCUAUAGGAUUGGUUCCCGACCUACCAGCUUGUUGGUGAGGUAACGGCUCACCAAGGCAAUGACGGGUACCUGGUCUGAGAGGACGAUCAGGCACACUGGAACUGAGACACGGUCCAGACACCUACGGGUGGCAGCAGUCGAGAAUAAUUCACAAUGGGGGCAACCCUGAUGGUGCAACGCCGCGUGGAGGAUGACGGUCUUCGGAUUGUAAACUCCUGUCAUCUGGGAGAAAGACCUGACGGUAAAUAGCCGGCAGGGUUGAUAGUACCAGAAGAGGAAGGGACGGCUAACUUCGUGCCAGCAGCCGCCGUAA